AAACCUGAGUUGUGGAGUAUCGAUGCUACUGGUCGGGAACAGAAACUAACCCGUUUCAUCGCGGAGUCUUCGUGGAAACAGACCACUGAGCGCAAGAGUUCCUUCUUGGAACCGUGUCUGGUUGAACGACUGAGCUAUCAGCUUGACUGUAGUGUAGUGGACUACAGUGGCUUUUACGGGUAACAGAGGAUCAGGGUUCGACUCUGGAGAGGGAGCCUGAGAAACGGCUACCACAUCUAAGGAAGGCAGCAGGCGCGCAAAUUACCCAAUUCUGACACAGAGAGGUAGUGACAAGAAAUAACAAUACAGGGCAACCAUGUCUUGUAAUUGGAAUGAGUAGAAUUUAAAUCCCUUUACAAGUAUCAAUUGGAGGGCAAGUC
rnacentral:rRNA from 1 species